rnacentral:rRNA from 1 species
AACAAAAACAUGUCCUUUAGAUAUAUAAUUAAAGGUCUAACCUGCCCAAUGAUUUUAAAUGGCCGCAGAAAUUUAACUGUGCGAAGGUAGCAUAAUCAUUAGUUUUUUAAUUGAAAGCUUGUAUGAAUGGUUGGACGAGAUAAAUUCUGUCUUUUUAUAAAAAUAUUAAUUUAAUUUUUAAGUUAAAAAGCUUAAAUUAUAUUAAUAGACGAGAAGACCCUAUAGAUCUUUAUAGAAUUAUUAUUAAAUAUUUUAGGAAUAUUAAGUUUUUAAUAUGAAAUUUUAUUUUAUUGGGGUAAUGUAAAAAUUUAAAUAAUUUUUUAUUUUUAAUUACAUAGAUAUAUGAAUAUUAGAUCCAAUAAUAUUGAAAUAAGAUUAAGUUACCUUAGGGAUAACAGCGUAAUUUUUUUAGAGAGUUCAUAUCGAUAAAAAAGUUUGCGACCUCGAUGUUG